rnacentral:lncRNA from 1 species
UCUCAGGAACUCCUUUGUGAUGUUUGCAUUCAAGUCACAGAAGUGAACAUUCACUUUCCUAGAGCAGGUUUGAAACACUGUUUUUGUAGUAUCUAGAACUGGACACUUGGAACGCUUUGUGGCCUAUGGUGAAAAAGGAAAUAUCUUCGCAUAAAAACUAGACAGAAGCAUUCUCAGAAACUUGUUUGUGAUGUGUGUACUCAACUAACAGAGUUGAACCUUUCUUUUGAUAGAGCAGUUUUGAAACACUCUUUUUGUAGA